rnacentral:lncRNA from 1 species
CCUUUUCCAUGACUUUUGCUCAAACAUUGCCGCCAAGGUCCCUGCAGUCGUUGCAUCAGUUGAGUACAGGCUUGCCCCAGAGCAUCGCCUGCCAGCCGCAUACGAUGAUGCCAUGGAAGUGCUGCAUUGGAUCAAGAAAACACAAGAAGACUGGUUACACAAAUACGGUGACUUGUCUCGCUGUUUUUUAAUGGGGGAUAGCUCCGGUGGCAACAUAGCUUACCAUGCAGGAUUGCGUGCAUCUGCGCAAGUUGAUGAUCUGUUUCCAUUGAAGAUCAGAGGGCUGAUACUGAAUUACCCUUUCUUUGGUGGGGUC